rnacentral:rRNA from 1 species
GGGGAAUAUUGCGCAAUGGGGGAAACCCUGACGCAGCAACGCCGCGUGGGCGACGAAGGUCUUCGGAUCGUAAAGCCCUGUCUUCUGGGACGAUAAUGACGGUACCAGAGGAGGAAGCCACGGCUAACUACGUGCCAGCAGCCGCGGUAAUACGUAGGUGGCAAGCGUCGUCCGGAAUUACUGGGCGUAAAGGGCGCGUAGGCGGCCUGUUAAGUCAGAUGUGAAACCCCCAGGCUCAACUUGGGGAUUGCAUAUGAAACUGAUGGGCUCGAGUGUCGGAGAGGAAAGCGGAAUUCCUAGUGUAGCGGUGAAAUGCGUAGAUAUUAGGAGGAACACCAGUGGCGAAGGCGGCUUUCUGGACGAUAACUGACGCUGAGGCGCGAAAGCGUGGGGAGCAAAC